UGCCACAAUGAUGACAGUUAUUUGCUACUCUCGACUGUGAGGGUGACGAGAAUUAUUACCACCAUUAUGCUAACUGAGGCA